rnacentral:lncRNA from 1 species
AAAAUGAUAGGUUUUAUAUCUUGGUUGACUCAUUAUAGUUACAAAGCAACACGUAGAUUGACAGCUCCAAGGUAUUUUCGUAUAUCACAGAAAAUUAUAAACCUGCAGAUACUCUCUUCUCCAUAACUUUGUUUUUGGAUUACCUUAGCUUUUUCUCUGUGAACUUCGGACUUUAUGUUGCUGUGUCUACUCAAUUGAAAGAUCCUCUUUUGAUAUUUUGCUUGGUUUUCCUGUUGGGUUUCUCUGAAGAAUACAUUGUCUGCUAAUCAGAGGUUAUAGCGACUGCUACUUGAGAAGUUCUAUUUUGAAUUUUUUACUUAUUUCAAGGUAAUUAUUAUAUAGGAUAAUUUUAUUUUACUGAUGGUAUUUUGUGUGUUACUAUGAUUUUGGUCGAGGUUACCAAAUCAAAGAAAAGGAUACAACAAAUUCUCAUGUAAGGGUAAAAGUUUUUUGUAAAUCAGCUCUUAAAAGUUUUUUAUAAAUCAGCUAAUCCCCUGGUAAUUCAUAGUAUUCUGAUUCUUUUUUGUUCUCUAAAAUUAAUAGAUCUUAUUACAGUAAUAAUCAAUGUUUUAAUCAUUUCUUGAAUUCUUGAUUUAAUCCAUCUAAAUAUUAUGUCUUUAUAUUUGCGCUUUUUUUAUCUUUUCCUUUUCGGUAAGUUUCCCAAGAUAUUUUUCAGUUUCAAUUUACUAAUUAGACUCAAAUUUACCUAAAAUACAGGUUUGAAAAUUGUGUCUUUUGGUAAGCCGUUUUAUCCUUUUCCCCUUUUAGCUAAGUUCUCCAAGUCAUUUUCCAGUAUGAGGCCAGCGCCUUUGUUAUGUAAAAUCAAUAAUUGUAUUUAAGUUAAAUUUAAUGUUUUUAUACUAUUGUUUUACAAGAUAUAUAGCAAAUUGCCAUAACUUUACGAAUGUAUUAUAGACGCUAUGAAUGGUAAUCAUCUUUACUGGGACUGAUUGUGAAUGUGAAUGCUUUUCUUUAUUUUCAUUUCUUUUCUUUUUCUUUCUCUUUUUCUUUUUCUUUUUAAAUUAUCAGCUCAUAACAAAUUUAUAUAUAUACAAAUUCAGGAGUUCUUAUUCUCAUCUUUCCGUUAGACGUGCUAAUAGUUAGUGGUGGUUUUUGAAGGUAUAAAAUUACUACCAAUGACUUCUCUUCUCUAAGUGUUUGAAUAAAUUCUUCAAUGAAUUACCAUUUCUAUUAAAUUUGUUAUGCAUAUUUCUAUCUUCUCGAUCUUUUAAGUGUUUGUGAUUUAUUUUUAUCCCCGUUGUCUUGAGGAGUAUUAAUGGCUUUUAUUCUCAUUUUCCUGGGGCUAAUAUCAUAACUACUGCUUGGAAGAUGAAAUAAGUCAUAAUUUUAAAAAAAUCAGGUUUUCUUUAUCUUUCGAUAUCAGAGUUCAUUCAUUCAGUUGGAUGCCUUUGAAAGGAAAAUUGUUAGUUUGAUCAACAUAUGCAUAAGUUGUUGUCAAUUUUGAUUUCUUUAGCCUUAUGAUGAUUAGGGGAAGAGGCUGGAUCAAUGGAGGGCUGACAUUAGUUUGCCGUUAGAGCCAAUUUACUGGUGUAUCAAAAUGAUAUGUAAUUUCUCAUGCAUAUUUGUUUUCAUAGUCUGAUAAUGGUUUGUGUAGAGCAAUUUAGCAACUUUAAGAGAAGUUUAUUCAUUUUUUUGGCAGCGAUCAAGUUUUGUGACUAUAAAAAGAUGUGACGACCAGGCCGAUCGUCUUAAGAAUUAA